AGUGAACGCUGGCGGCGUGCCUAAUACAUGCAAGUCGAACGGAGUGGCGCACGGGUGAGUAAUAUAUAGCUAAUCUGCCCCUUGCUGGAGGAUAACAGUUAGAAAUGACUGCUAAUACUCCAUAGCAAGGGAUGAGUCGAUAUCGUAUCAGCUAGUCGGUGGGGUAACGGCCUACCGAGGCUAUGACGCGUAACUGGUCUGAGAGGAUGAUGAGUCACAUUGGAACUGAGACACGGUCCAAACUCCUACGGGAUGCAGCAGUAGGGAAUAUUGCGCAAUGGGGGAAACCCUGACGCAGCAACGCCGCGUGGAGUAUGACACUUUUCUGAGCUUAAACUCCUGUUGUUAGGUAAGCGGUACCUAACGAAUAAGCACCGGCUAACUCCGUGCCAGCAGCCGCGGUAAUUC
rnacentral:rRNA from 1 species